UGGAGAAUGCUCAACCUAGGUGGAGGGCGGUGGACAGAACCAUGGCCUUCCCUGGGAUCAGAGUGGGUCUGAGAAACCUCCUCGGAGCACCCUUUCCCCGCCAACCCCACACGGGGUCUUAACACCACGGAUCUGGGGAUGAGGUCAGGUCGGUGUCCAGGCUGCACUCUGGGGCAUACGCAGAUGGGCUCUCACCUGGACAUGGAAAGCCAGCAGAUGGGCCAGGCUAGUAAGAGAGAUGGGGUGGAGCCCUGGGCCAAAGCACUGCCCUCUCCGGCUGCCUGGCUGUCAACCCCCUGCCCCCACGCCCAGCCCCGGCAACCACUGCUCUGGCAUUACGUCUUCUGGAAUGUCACAUAACUGUCAUCAGACAGAAGUCAGUUUUUUCUGGCUGGUUCUUCUCACUUGGUUUAGUGCUUUGAGGUUUGUCCAGAAUGUAGCAUGUAACACUGCUUCUCCCUUUUUUUUGGCUGAAUGGAGAGCCAGGCCUUGUCCGAGGCCACACGGCCAGCAGGUGCUGAGCAGUUCUAAUUCUGUCCGAAGACCUCAUACUGCCAAGUCAGAGGGAUGAGUUCCAAGUAGAUAUGAAAUUUCUAGCAUUUCGGAUUGACACAGCAAUCUUACAACUCGGAUUGUAAGAAAUCUUAAUAAAAUCUUAAUUAAGUGCCUUAAUAAAACCUUCACAAAAUAAAAUAAGCAAGGAAGAGGAGUCCGGCGGUCCCAAGAGAAACUUUUCUUGGUGAUCAAUGGUGUGGGGAGGGUCCUCCGGGCCCUGGUUCUCUUGCCCUAGCUCAGAAUCCCCUGUGUGGGGCUGCACUUGGAGAAGGAAGGGCCGAGGGGAGUGGGCUCUGAGGGUUUGUAUCAUUUCAUUUGAAAAUGCAGAGAGCAACGUGGGCAAAUGGAGAGUUCUUGUUAAAACAUGCUGGUUAGGGGCGCCUCGGUGGCUCAG
rnacentral:lncRNA from 1 species